rnacentral:lncRNA from 1 species
AGGGCACUCAAGGAAGGCAUGUUCAGACCCUGUUCUCCGAUAGUAGACUGAGAGGAUAGAAAGAGAGAGGGGGGGAGUUGUUCCCUUUUGUGCAGAGGACUAGUGAUGGAUUGACUUUUCCAAUAUUUACUGUGCUCAGCAGCUCUUAAUCCAGCCCAGGUGAACCAUGGGCCUUCCCCUCACCACAGCCCAGCAAGCCAUGAGUGUCCAUUUAAUCACCAGCACAGAAAUUAGAUCCAACAGCCACUGCUCUAAAGACCUUUAAAUAUGCAGUGUACUGUAGAAGAGAAGAACCAGGGAGAUACAACAAUGCAAAACAUCAACAAACAACAGCAACAAGGACAACAACAACAUAUAAUAGCAUAAAAAAACAGGUACUUUUCCCUCUGCAUACCAUAGCUGCUUUAUACUGUAAGCUCAGGGAGAAAGGUUAGGAACCAAAGUUUUUAAAGAGAGUAUACCACUAAAUGUUUAAUUUGGGUCAAACUCAGUAAGAACAGACACUAUCCAUGUGGCCUAUUUAACCCUUUUAGUAGCCGCAGCAAAUACUUACGGCUGAGCAUAAAAUACUCUUCUGAUGAGACAGCGUUUGGGAGUGUUACUAAUCCACACGUGGUUGAAAUUAGGUUGCAGGGCUACGUCAGCAAAGCCUAUUGCAUAUUUCAAUUCUUAAAGCGGGUGUGAAGGUGAAGCGCUGUCAGACGUACUUUUGCAAAUAGCGUGCAAGUGAAACUAAUCUUGCCAAAAUAGAUUAGGCACUGUGAGUGAACAUGGCCCAAUUUACCAUCUGCUUGCCCGCAAGUGUAGAGAUGUUGGUGGACCAGAGAAACAAAAAUGACAAUAAAGCAGACAUACUUCGGGAAUCCAAAUUGCCCUUAAACUGGGAACACAGUGGGAACACAGAUUGGGAUCUGGACCAGUGACUGUUGUGACUCCAAUUAUAUAUAAUGCUUCUUCUAAUGAACUCAUUACCACCAUAGUGACAGCUAGGACUGCUCUGUUUAUGUUAUGACAUAAUGUGUAAUAAUAACUAAAUGCUUUUGGCCACUGUCACAAUUAUGCAUUUUAAAUACUAAGAUGACAUAACAGUGUCAUAACAACUUUGUGUCAAUAGCAGAGCUGGUCCUAGAUGGCCCUAUACAGGCCCUCUGGGAUCUAGUUGCACAACGCUUCCUGGUUCACUCUCAUUUACGUUGGACAAUGAGAAGGUUGUCCUUGCAGACAGGGUUAGGGUCGUGGUCGAGGCUAGGGUUAAGCUUGAACCAGGAUGUGGACAUGAAGCUAGGGUUAGGGUUGUGGUUGAGGCUAAGUUUAGGCUUGAACCAGGAUGGGGACAUUAAGCUAAGGUUAGGGUUUAGUGUUAGAGUUGAAUCAGGAAGUGGACAUGAAGCUAAGAUUGUGGUUGAGACUAGGUGUAACAUGCUGGAUAUGAACCCAGGUGUCUCACAGGUGCGACCAACGUUUUAGACCAUUAGACCAAUAGAAAAUUCCCUCUUGGGCUUAGGGCUGACACUGGUUUUGAAGUUUGCAUGCGGGGCUACCUCAUCAUGUGACCAUGACCUCUACAUAAGGUUAAGCUUGAACUGGGAUGUGGACAUGAGGCUCGGGUUAGGGUUGUGGUUGUGGUUGAGGGUUAGGGUUGCACCGGGAUGUGGACAUGAGGCUAGGGUUAGGGUUAGGGUUGUGUUUGAGGGUUAGGCUUGAACUGGGAUGUGGACAUGAAGCUAGGGUUAGGGUUAGGGUUGUGGUUGAGGGUUAGGGUUGCACCGGGAUGUGGACAUGAGGCUAGGGUUAGGGUUGUGGUUGAGGGUUAGGGUUGCACCGGGAUGUGGACAUGAGGCUAGGGCUAGGGUUAGGGUUGUGGUUGAGGGUUAGGGUUGCACCGGGAUGUGGACAUGAGGCUAGGGUUAGGGUUAGGGUUGUGGUUGAGGGUUAGGGUUGAACUGGGAUGUGGACAUGAAGCUAGCGAUAUGGUUGUGGUUGUGGUUGAGGGUUAGGUUUGCACCGGGAUGUGGACAUGAGGCUAGGGUUAUGGUUAGGGCUGUGGUUGCACCGGGAUGUGGACAUGAGGCUAGGGUUAUGGUUAGGGCUGUGGUUGCACCGGGAUGUAGACAUGAGGCUAGGAAACAGUGUCACCACCGAUAAAUCCACGAUAAUCGAG